rnacentral:rRNA from 1 species
UGUCUAAGUAUANGNNACUAUACUGNNNAAACUGCGAAUGGCUCAUUAAAUCAGUUAUCGUUUAUUUGAUAGUACCUUACUACAUGGAUAACCGUGGUAAUUCUAGAGCUAAUACAUGCUAAAAACCUCGACUUCGGAAGGGGUGUAUUUAUUAGAUAAAAAACCAAUGCCCUUCGGGGCUCCCUGGUGAUUCAUAAUAACUUAACGAAUCGCAUGGCCUUGUGCCGGCGAUGGUUCAUUCAAAUUUCUGCCCUAUCAACUUUCGAUGGUAGGAUAGUGGCCUACCAUGGUUUCAACGGGUAACGGGGAAUUAGGGUUCUAUUCCGGAGAAGGAGCCUGAGAAACGGCUACUACAUCCAAGGAAGGCAGCAGGCGCGCAAAUUACCCAAUCCCGACACGGGGAGGUAGUGACAAUAAAUACUGAUACAGGGCUCUUUUGAGUCUUGUAAUUGGAAUGAGUACAAUUUAAAUACCUUAACGAGGAACAAUUGGAGGGCAAGUCUGGUGCCAGCAGCCGCGGUAAUUCCAGCUCCAAUAGCGUAUAUUAAAGUUGUUGCAGUUAAAAAGCUCGUAGUUGAACCUUGGGCCUGGUUGGCCGGUCCGCCUCACCGCGUGCACUGGUCCGACCGGGUCUUUCCUUCUGGGGAGCCGCAUGCCCUUCACUGGGUGUGUCGGGGAACCAGGACUUUUACUUUGAAAAAAUUAGAGUGUUCAAAGCAGGCCUAUGCUCGAAUACAUUAGCAUGGAAUAAUAGAAUAGGACGUGUGGUUCUAUUUUGUUGGUUUCUAGGACCGCCGUAAUGAUUAAUAGGGAUAGUCGGGGGCAUCAGUAUUCAAUUGUCAGAGGUGAAAUUCUUGGAUUUAUUGAAGACUAACUACUGCGAAAGCAUUUGCCAAGGAUGUUUUCAUUAAUCAGUGAACGAAAGUUAGGGGAUCGAAGACGAUCAGAUACCGUCGUAGUCUUAACCAUAAACUAUGCCGACUAGGGAUCGGGCGAUGUUAUCUUUUUGACUCGCUCGGCACCUCACGAGAA